GAUGAACGCUGGCGGCGUGCCUAAUACAUGCAAGUCGAGCGAACGGACGAGAAGCUUGCUUCUCUGAUGUUAGCGGCGGACGGGUGAGUAACACGUGGAUAACCUACCUAUAAGACUGGGAUAACUUCGGGAAACCGGAGCUAAUACCGGAUAAUAUUUUGAACCGCAUGGUUCAAAAGUGAAAGACGGUCUUGCUGUCACUUAUAGAUGGAUCCGCGCUGCAUUAGCUAGUUGGUAAGGUAACGGCUUACCAAGGCAACGAUGCAUAGCCGACCUGAGAGGGUGAUCGGCCACACUGGAACUGAGACACGGUCCAGACUCCUACGGGACGCAGCAGUAGGGAAUCUUCCGCAAUGGGCGAAAGCCUGACGGAGCAACGCCGCGUGAGUGAUGACGGUCUUCGGAUCGUAAAACUCUGUUAUUAGGGAAGAACAUAUGUGUAAGUAACUGUGCACAUCUUGACGGUACCUAAUAAGAAAGCAACGGCUAACUACGUG
rnacentral:rRNA from 1 species